rnacentral:sRNA from 1 species
GAAAGAGGACCUUCUACUAAAACCGCGCACGUCCUGUGCCGGGCGUAGAAGUCACCACAUCCUGCGGG